rnacentral:rRNA from 1 species
GAUGAACGCUGGCGGCGUGCCUAAUACAUGCAAGUCGAGCGAACAGACGAGGAGCUUGCUCCUCUGACGUUAGCGGCGGACGGGUGAGUAACACGUGGAUAACCUACCUAUAAGACUGGGAUAACUUCGGGAAACCGGAGCUAAUACCGGAUAGUAUAUUGAACCGCAUGGUUCAAUAGUGAAAGACGGUUUUGCUGUCACUUAUAGAUGGAUCCGCGCCGCAUUAGCUAGUUGGUAAGGUAACGGCUUACCAAGGCAACGAUGCGUAGCCGACCUGAGAGGGUGAUCGGCCACACUGGAAUUGAGACACGGUCCAGACUCCUACGGGAGGCAGCAGUAGGGAAUCUUCCGCAAUGGGCGAAAGCCUGACGGAGCAACGCCGCGUGAGUGAUGAAGGUCUUCGGAUCGUAAAACUCUGUUAUUAGGGAAGAACAAAUGUGUAAGUAACUAUGCACGUCUUGACGGUACCUAAUCAGAAAGCCACGGCUAACUACGUG